rnacentral:rRNA from 1 species
UAGGUGGCAAGCGUUGUCCGGAUUUAUUGGGCGUAAAGCGAGCGCAGGCGGUUUUUUAAGUCUGAUGUGAAAGCCUUCGGCUCAACCGAAGAAGUGCAUCGGAAACUGGGAAACUUGAGUGCAGAAGAGGACAGUGGAACUCCAUGUGUAGCGGUGAAAUGCGUAGAUAUAUGGAAGAACACCAGUGGCGAAGGCGGCUGUCUGGUCUGUAACUGACGCUGAGGCUCGAAAGUAUGGGUAGCAAACAGGAUUAGAUACCCUGGUAGUCCAUACCGUAAACGAUGAAUGCUAAGUGUUGGAGGGUUUCCGCCCUUCAGUGCUGCAGCUAACGCAUUAAGCAUUCCGCCUGGGGAGUACGGCCGCAAGGCUGAAACUCAAAGGAAUUGACGGGGGCCCGCACAAGCGGUGGAGCAUGUGGUUUAAUUCGAA